GUCCACGCCGUAAACGAUGGAUACUAGCUGUUGGGGGCAACUUCAGUGGUUAAGCGAAAGUGAUAAGUAUCCCACCUGGGGAGUACGUUCGCAAGAAUGAAACUCAAAGGAAUUGACGGGGCCCGCACAAGCGGUGGAGCAUGUGGUUUAAUUCGAUGAUACGCGAGGAACCUUACCAAGGCUUAAAUGUAGAUUGACCGGUUUGGAAACAGACUUUUUCGCAAGACAAUUUACAAGGUGCUGCAUGGUUGUCGU
rnacentral:rRNA from 1 species